rnacentral:lncRNA from 1 species
UUCAGUGGAAGAAGCUAAUUGGGAGACAGAUGAUCGGAUGAGAGAGAUGUAUCCAUGCUUGUUUUAUGAUUGCUAGUGGAUGUAUUUGUUAUGUAUAAUUUCGAGGACAAAAUUUUUUAAGGUGGGGAGAUUGUCAUAGCCUGUCCCAAAUAUAUAAUUAUCGAUGGCGUGAAUUGACGAAAAUACCCUUGGACGUUAGUUGUGUAAUGUGGUUUAUGUGUGGUUUUGGGUCAAUAUUCUUAAAUCCUAAUUGUUUAGAACCAAUUAGGAUUAAGUUAUGGUAUUUUUGAUGGUUAACCAAUCCUAGGCCACACACACGCACUCUCUCUCUUCUUUCUCCCGUACCCUCUCAUCUCUCUCGGACUCUCACUCUCUCUCUCCUUCUAAAUCGUACGGACAAUCACCCAAAACCCUUGAAACUUCACGGAUCGUGGUCAAAGUUGGCACCAUUGUGUUCGUGAAGCUCAGACGAGUCGAUUGGUACCUAUUUCAGGUAAGGAUACCUUCGAAAACCCUAGAUUUUCAUAACCCCCGAUUUGUGCACUGUUCAUGCACACGUGAUUAUGGAUGUUUUUGGGAAUUUGAAGCUUGUAGGAAGCUUAGUGAGGUCCUAAGGAAGCUCGGAGUGCUUCGUUUGAAGGUUUUGGACGUCGGGAUCGUGCGGACGAAGUUUGGCCGGUUUUCAUGGAAUUCUCCGGUGAGAUCCCGUGACAUUUAGAACUUUAAAUUAGUAUGAUUGUGUUCUACUAGUUAAAAGCUUCAUUUUGGUAUAAAUUAGUGAAAAAUGGUGCAAAAAUAAGCGAGAAAUAGGCAGUUGCAGGUCUGCCCAGAAUCUGGCGCCGAUGGCAUUAUUCCGGUGUCUGGAGGUUGAAGGUGAUGCGCAUGAGGGCGCGUGAGGCCAUGCCUUCCCCGGUGCGUAAGGGCGCGUGAGCCACAAAAAAAUUAUUCUAAAAAUAUCACGAUGUUCGUGAGGUUGCGUAGGUCAUGUUGGUAUAUUCAAAUACCGAAAUUGAGCUUUGUAUGAGAAGUUAUUAGCUAGUUUUGUAUAUGUGCUUUAAAAUAACGUUUUUAUAGUUAAUUUGCAUAUAUUUGAGACUUAUCCCGAGGACGAGCGUAUCCACGGGCGACUCGGGGGUUACGAUCCGUUGACAUACUAGUGAGUGGGCUUUUGGUUUCAGUAUAUAUUUAUAUACUUGAUAUAUUUCCCAGAAAUGCAUUUUUAAGGAAUGUAUGCUUUGAAAUAAUAUGCCAAAUACUUUUAUAUUAUGAAUAUGCAUUUCAUGGCUGCAUAUAUAUAUAUAAAUGUGGUGCUGUGAAGGCACUGGUAAGUUCAGGUAAGUUAUGUUUGAUUAUGUGAAUCAUCGAUGAUGUGAUAUGUGAUUGAAUAAUGUUGAGCUCAUAAAACUGCACCUAGGGUGAUUGUGAUUUAGCCAGAGAUAUGAAGUACAUGCUUGUUUAUUUACGUCACCUCCCGCACUAUAUGCUCAUAUUGGAUCCAACUUAAGUGCACAGUCUUGUCGUACAGACCUUAUUUAUGGUUCCGACUUGUAGGUGACUAGCGAUUCAUCGCCCAGCUAUUAUGAGAGAAUAGAAUUGAGCAUAACUAUAUUACACCCAAUCUUGUCAUAC